AUGAUCACCAAGGAAAAAACUAGAAGCUCCUCUUCAAUCUUUCUCUGUGAAUCAUCUUUGACCUUCAUUCUCUUUUUUUCAUCCUUCUCUGUUUCUCAUCUUCAUUCUCUCCUUGUGAACUUCUCAAUCUCCCUCUCGAAUAACCUUCCUUCAUCUUCAUCAACCUUUAACAAACCUAGCCUCUGA